UGGGGAAUCUUCCGCAAUGGGCGAAAGCCUGACGGAGCAACGCCGCGUGAGUGAAGAAGGCCUUCGGGUCGUAAAACUCUGUCUUCAGGGAAGAAAAAAAUGACGGUACCUGAGGAGGAAGCCCCGGCUAACUACGUGCCAGCAGCCGCGGUAAAACGUAGGGGGCGAGCGUUGUCCGGAAUUACUGGGCGUAAAGGGCGCGUAGGCGGUCAUUUAAGUCAGAGGUGAAAACUACCGGCUCAACCGGUAGCCUGCCUUUGAAACUGGAUGACUUGAGGGCAGGAGAGGGGAGUGGAAUUCCCAGUGUAGCGGUGAAAUGCGUAGAUAUUGGGAGGAACACCAGUGGCGAAGGCGGCUCUCUGGCCUGUUUCUGACGCUGAGGCGCGAAAGCGUGGGGAGCGAACGGG
rnacentral:rRNA from 2 species